rnacentral:rRNA from 1 species
GUGUCAGCCGCCGCGGUAAGACGGAGGGGGCUAGCGUUGUUCGGAAUUACUGGGCGUAAAGCGUGCGUAGGCGGCCUUUCAAGUUGGGUGUGAAAGCCCGGGGCUCAACCCCGGAGGUGCGCCCAAGACUGCUUGGCUAGAGACCCGGAGAGGUGAGUGGAACUCCCAGUGUAGAGGUGAAAUUCGUAGAUAUUGGGAAGAACACCAGUGGCGAAGGCGGCUCACUGGACGGGUACUGACGCUGAGGCACGAAAGCGUGGGGAGCAAACAGGAUUAGAUACCCCCGUAGUCC